GUGACUAACACACAUGCAGGCCCGGCAGGGAGGCAUUAAAGCAGGAGGCGAGCUCGGGCCCCGGUCGGUGGGUUCCAGGUAGACACAGGAGAAGAGCCCACGUGAUACAUCAAGGGGCUUGCAGGACUGGAAGAACUUGCUUCUGGAUCUUAAUGGGUAAGAGGGUGUCAGGUAGGCGUGGCCCUGUGAGUGUCGUCAGGAAGCCAUGUCCGUGUUAUCUCUGUGCGUGGACGGUGCAGAGGUCCAGCGGCUCCAGGCUCAGCUAGUAGGGAAUCCGCCUGCAGUGUGGGAGACCUGGGCUCGAUCCCUGGGUCAGGAA